rnacentral:rRNA from 1 species
UAUUGGUCAAUGGGCUAAGGCCUGAACCAGCCAAGUCGCGUGAGGGAAGACGGUCCUAUGGANUAUAAACCUCUUUUGUCGGGGANNACNNNGNCCACGUGUGGCCGAAGUGAGAGUACCCGAAGAAAAANNNUNGNCUAACUCCGUGCCAGCAGCCGCGGUAAUACGGAGGAUGCGAGCGUUAUCCGGAUUUAUUGGGUUUAAAGGGUGCGUAGGCGGAACAUUAAGUCAGCGGUAAAAUCGAGGGGCUCAACCCCUUUAAGCCGUUGAAACUGGUGAUCUUGAGUGGGCGAGAAGUAUGCGGAAUGCGUGGUGUAGCGGUGAAAUGCAUAGAUAUCACGCAGAACUCCGAUUGCGAAGGCAGCAUACCGGCGCCCGACUGACGCUGAGGCACGAAAGCGUGGGGAUCGAACAGG